AAGUCGUAACAAGGUUUCCGUAGGUGAACCUGCGGAAGGAUCAUUAUCACGUAUCCACGUAUAAACCAUUGUGAACCGUUUUUAACCUCUGCAAAACCGGCCUCGUAGCAUUCGUGUGAAAAGGCUGGCUAGUAACAGAGCGUAUCUACCAUAUUAACCAUUUUAACCAAUCUUUAUAACUUUAUGAACUAACUUUAUUUUAUACUCUUCGGAGAUAAAAUUCAUUACGAAACAAAGAACAACUCUUAGCAACGGAUAUCUUGGUUCUC
rnacentral:misc_RNA from 1 species